rnacentral:lncRNA from 1 species
CUCAACAUGGAGCUUGAACUCACGACCCUGAGGUGAAGACCUGAGCUGAGAUCAAGAGUCUGGCUCUUAACCAACUGAGUCACCCAGGGACACCAUCUUUUUAAAUUCCCCAGGUCCAGAGACGUUGGAGAGUUGGAGCAAAACCAAAAUUACUGGUUCCUUGAAG